GCAGGGACAAUAAUAGCACGUACCUAUAUCAGUUCCCAAAGGAUCACUGAAGUUAAGCAACGAUGCGCGCGGUUAGCAUCCGGAUGGGUGGCCAUCUGGAAAAUGCGAGGUGCAAGCU
rfam:Asian citrus Psyllid, Diaphorina citri - Florida Strain, whole genome shotgun sequence.